rnacentral:rRNA from 1 species
UACGGAGGAUGCAAGCGUUAUCCGGAUUUAUUGGGUUUAAAGGGUGCUCAGGUUGUUUGAUAAGUCAGUGGUGAAAGUCUGUCGCUUAACGGUAGGAUUGCCAUUAAUACUGUUGGACUUGAAUAUGAAUGAGGUAGGCGGAAUGUGUAAUGUAGCGGUGAAAUGCUUAGAUAUUACACAGAACACCGAUUGCGAAGGCAGCUUACUGGGCCGUUACUGACGCUGAUGCACGAAAGCGUGUGGAUCGAACAGGAUUA